UAGAGGCCUACCAUGGUGGUAACGGGUAAUGGGGUGUUAGGGCACGACACCGGAGAGGGAGCCUGAGAAACGGCUACCACAUCCAAGGAUGGCAGCAGGCGCGCAAAUUACCCAAUCCCGACACGGGGAGGUAGUGACAAUAAAUAACAAUACGGGGUUCUUUAGGAUCUCGUAAUUGGAAUGAGUACAAUUUAAAUCUCUUAACGAGGAACAAUUGGAGGGCAAGUCUGGUGCCAGCAGCCGCGGUAAUUCCAGCUCCAAUAGCGUAUAUUAAAGUUGUUGCAGUUAAAAAGCUCGUAGUUGAAUUUCGGGGUUAGUAGGUUGGUCAUGCCUCUGGUAUGUACUGAUCUCACUGAUUCCUCCUUCCUUAUGAACCGUAAUGCCAUUAAUUUGGUGUUGCGGGGAAUUUGGACUGUUACUUUGAAAAAAUUAGAGUGUUUAAAGCAGGCUAACGCUUGAAUACAUUAGCAUGGAAUAAUGAAAUAGGACGUUCGAUCUUAUUUUGUUGGUUUCUAGGAUUGACGUAAUGAUUAAUAGGGAUAGUUGGGGGCAUUAGUAUUCAAUUGUCAGAGGUGAAAUCCUUGGAUUUAUUGAAGACUAACUACUGCGAAAGCAUUUGCCAAGGAUGUUUUCAUUAAUCAAGAACGAAAGUUAGGGGAUCGAAGACGAUCAGAUACCGUCGUAGUCUUAACCAUAAA
rnacentral:rRNA from 1 species